CCUACGGGAGGCAGCAGUGGGGAAUAUUGCACAAUGGGGGAAACCCUGAUGCAGCGACGCCGCGUGAGUGAAGAAGUAUUUCGGUAUGUAAAGCUCUAUCAGCAGGGAAGAAAAUGACGGUACCUGAGUAAGAAGCCCCGGCUAAUUACGUGCCAGCAGCCGCGGUAAUACGUAGGGGGCAAGCGUUAUCCGGAUUUACUGGGUGUAAAGGGAGCGUAGACGGCAGUGCAAGUCUGGAGUGAAAGGCGGGGGCUCAACCCCCGGACUGCUCUGGAAACUGGACGGCUGGAGUGCAGGAGAGGUAAGCGGAAUGCCUAGUGUAGCGGUGAAAUGCGUAGAUAUUAGGAGGAACACCAGUGGCGAAGGCGGCUUACUGGACUGUAACUGACGUUGAGGCUCGAAAGCGUGGGGAGCAAACAGGAUUAGAUACCCGAGUAGUC
rnacentral:rRNA from 1 species